rnacentral:rRNA from 1 species
AUGAACGCUGGCGGCGUGCCUAAUACAUGCAAGUCGAGCGAACGGACGAGAAGCUUGCUUCUCUGAUGUUAGCGGCGGACGGGUGAGUAACACGUGGAUAACCUACCUAUAAGACUGGGAUAACUUCGGGAAACCGGAGCUAAUACCGGAUAAUAUUUUGAACCGCAUGGUUCAAAAGUGAAAGACGGUCUUGCUGUCACUUAUAGAUGGAUCCGCGCUGCAUUAGCUAGUUGGUAAGGUAACGGCUUACCAAGGCAACGAUGCAUAGCCGACCCGAGAGGGUGAUCGGCCACACUGGAACUGAGACACGGUCCAGACUCCUACGGGAGGCAGCAGUAGGGAAUCUUCCGCAAAGGGCGAAAGCCUGACGGAGCAACGCCGCGUGAGUGAUGAAGGUCUUCGGAUCGUAAAACUCUGUUAUUAGGGAAGAACAUAUGUGUAAGUAACUGCGCACAUCUUGACGGUACCUAAUCAGAAAGCCACGGCUAACUACGUG